AGAGUUUUGGUGGGCUUUUGUGUGCUGCUCAUCGCUGCCACUGUUGUUGUAUAAGCACAAAUGGUGCUUGUCUGCUGCCAGGCACACUGAGCUUUUUGUUAUGCCGUUAACCAGAUUUCCCCAUGAAAGCUCUCUCCGCUCUCUUGCUCUCAGAGCUGUGAGCUUGGCACAGGGAAGCAGGGAAGGAUGAAGUGAGAGGGAGGAUCAUGGAGGAACAGGGAGCCAUAUGAUUCUGCGUGCUUGGUUGGGUGUAUGAGAGAGAGAUGAAGCGGGGAAAAACAGCACACUGAGACAUGCUGGAACCCAUCCUGGCUAAAAGCGGAUCCUGUUGGACACGCAUGCUAUCCCAGAAAAUAAAUCAGCCAGGACAGGAGGGGACACGCACACACACGGUGCACUACAAGCCAACGCUCGGUGCUAUUAAUUAGCCCAACCGAGAGUCAUUUAUCACGGUGGCAAUAAGGUGAAAAAGUCAAGAGUUUAUUACAGCUCGCACAAUGCCGAGGCCACAGCUCGGGGACCACACACACGCUUUAAAAUGGUUUAGGUGAAUAAUAAAAACUGACAUAAAUACAUAAAUAAGUUAAAUAUUCCAUUUUAAAAUGAGUGCAAAUUUUUUUUUUUUUUUUUUUUUUUUGUUGUUGUUGGUCAAAA